AAUCACAGAAAUGCCCCUCCAUAUAUAAUCCGUAAGAAAUCUUAUUUUUCGAAAAUCAUUCAAACGCCGCACCGUCCACAAAUGUUGCUCCAUAUGGAAUUAUGGAUGUGGUUUUCGACCCCAGCUUCACGUUCUGGGAGUUGUAGACAGCCAGCCCAAAGCAAGAUCUUAGUGCUCCUAUCCUAUGGCUGAUGAUAAUUGUCUGGGAUUUUGAACCCUGCCACAAUGAGCUUGAACUUUUUGGGUUUGCAGAUAUCUUCUGAGAGGCUCAGGGGAUCUUCAUAACUGUUCACAGUAAUGCAGAUUCAAUUAAUGUAUGUGUGAAUUAUACAACCAAGGACUUCAUGCAUCAACAGAAAACAACCGAUGACUAGAUAUAAGGUACCAAACAGAGUGCAAUUGUGCAAGUGGCAGGUCGUCAGUUUAUAUCAAAGCACCAUUCAUAAGAGGAUCAUCAACCAAUGUGAAAAAGAUGUCCAAACAUAAACAAGGAUGCAUAUCCCGUGCAGCAAGUACAUAUGCAAAAGGAUUGCGUGAAGUCAUGGCUCAUAACCAAGCUCCUAAUACGUACUGCAAGUAUAUAUCGAAUCAUUCUAAUGCCGCAAGGACGAUUGUACUCUUCAAAGUAAAAAGAAAGAAAACAGGAUAACUGGGUGAUGCCAGCCUCAUCCUGAAACAAGAUUGAAACAUAGUCAAUUAGGCCUCUAAAUACCGUCGGCCAUAGCCUGGCCGGGCCUCCAGCCCGGUGCCGGAGUGGGAAAAACCUCAGGUGGUGCUGGAGGCAUGAAGAAACUCGAAGGAUUUAUGCCUAAUCCCAU